rnacentral:rRNA from 1 species
AGCAGCCGCGGUAAUUCCAGCUCCAAUAGCGUAUAUUAAAGUUGUUGCAGUUAAAAAGCUCGUAGUUGAAUUUCGGGGUUAGUAGGUCGGUCAUGCCUCAGGUAUGUACUGGUCUCACUGAUUCCUCCUUCCUGAUGAGCUGUAAUGCCAUUAAUUUGGUGUUGCGGGGAAUCUGGACUGUUACUUUGAAAAAAUUAGAGUGUUUAAAGCAGGCUAACGCUUGAAUACAUUAGCAUGGAAUAAUGGAAUAGGACGUUCGAUCCUAUUUUGUUGGUUUCUAGGAUUGACGUAAUGAUUAAUAGGGAUAGUUGGGGGCAUUAGUAUUCAAUUGUCAGAGGUGAAAUUCUUGGAUUUAUUGAAGACUAACUACUGCGAAAGCAUUUGCCAAGGAUGUUUUCAUUAAUCAAGAACGAAAGUUAGGGGAUCGAAGACGAUCAGAUACCGUCGUAGUCUUAACCAUAAACUAUGCCGACUAGGGAUCGGAUGAUGUUAAUUUUUAAUGUA